rnacentral:tRNA from 1 species
GCUUAGUUCAGCUGGUUAGAGCGUCGGAUUGUGGUUCCGAAGGUCGUGGGUUCGAGUCCCACCGC